UAACUAAGAGAAUUUUGAAUUUC
rnacentral:piRNA from 1 species